CUGAAUUGAAGCUUGGGCCUCCUUACACAUGUUCUGCUUUCACUAAAAGAUCCAUUGAGCCAUUUGAAUUUAUGUCUUCAUGGAAUGAAUGUAGAGUUUGAGUUGAAGGGUCUGCUAACACAAUGAUAAACAUAAGUUUCAAAGAAGAAUUAUAUGAGAAAUAAAACAUAGAAAAAGUGAAACAUGGUAUUUUUGUGUACCUUAAUGUAUUUCCACAUUGCUAAGUACAUGGGAGAUUAUGAAGCAGAAGAAUAACAGAGGAGUGUAGUUAGUGAUGGUCAUGUUUUGUUGUUGAAUGCUAUUGCUAUC
rnacentral:lncRNA from 1 species